rnacentral:rRNA from 1 species
GUCCACGCCGUAAACGAUGAAUACUAGGUGUUGCGGGUAUUGACCCCUGCAGUGCCGACGCUAACGCAUUAAGUAUUCCGCCUGGGAAGUACGGCCGCAAGGCUAAAACUCAAAGGAAUUGACGGGGGCCCCGCACAAGCGGUGGAGUAUGUGGUUUAAUUCGACGCAACGCGAAGAACCUUACCCAGACUUGACAUUGAUGGAAUCCCUUGGAAACUUGGGAGUACCCUUCGGGGACCUGAAAACAGGUGCUGCAUGGCUGUCGU